rnacentral:rRNA from 1 species
GAUGAACGCUGGCGGCGUGCCUAAUACAUGCAAGUCGAGCGAACAGAUAAGGAGCUUGCUCCUUUGACGUUAGCGGCGGACGGGUGAGUAACACGUGGAUAACCUACCUAUAAGACUGGGAUAACUUCGGGAAACCGGAGCUAAUACCGGAUAACAUAUUGAACCGCAUGGUUCAAUAGUGAAAGGCGGCUUUGCCGUCACUUAUAGACGGAUCCGCGCCGGAUUAGCUAGUUGGUAAGGUAACGGCUUACCAAGGCAACGAUACGUAGCCGACCUGAGAGGGUGAUCGGCCACACUGGAACUGAGACACGGUCCAGACUCCUACGGGAGGCAGCAGUAGGGAAUCUUCCGCAAUGGGCGAAAGCCUGACGCAGCAACGCCGCGUGAGUGAUGAAGGUCUUCGGAUCGUAAAGCUCUGUUAUCAGGGAAGAACAAAUGUGUAAGUAACUGUGCACAUCUUGACGGUACCUGAUCAGAAAGCCACGGCUAACUACGUG